UACGGAGGGUGCAAGCGUUGUUCGGAAUUAUUGGGCGUAAAGGGCGCGUAGGCGGUUGUGAAAGUCAGAUGUGAAAUACUUCGGCUCAACUGAAGAACUGCAUCUGAAACUUCAUAACUCGAGUACUGAAGAGGGAAAUGGAAUUCCUGGUGUAGAGGUGAAAUUCGUAGAUAUCAGGAGGAACACCAGUGGCGAAGGCGAUUUCCUGGUCAGAUACUGACGCUGAGGCGCGAAAGUGUGGGGAGCAAACAGG
rnacentral:rRNA from 1 species